GACGAACGCUGGCGGCGUGCUUAACACAUGCAAGUCGAACGGAGAGGCCCUGCUUAUGUGGGGUACUCGAGUGGCGAACGGGUGAGUAACACGUUAGUAACCUGCCCUUGACUUUGGGAUAACUUCAGGAAACUGGGUCUAAUACCGGAUAGGAGCUCCUGCUGCAUGGUGGGGGUUGGAAAGCUUCGGCGGUUGGGGAUGGACUCGCGGCUUAUCAGCUUGUUGGUGGGGUAGUGGCUUACCAAGGCUUUGACGGGUAGCCGGCCUGAGAGGGUGACCGGCCACAUUGGGACUGAGAUACGGCCCAGACUCCUACGGGAGGCAGCAGUGGGGAAUAUUGCACAAUGGGCGGAAGCCUGGUGCAGCAACGCCGCGUGCGGGAUGACGGCCUUCGGGUUGUAAACCGCUUUCGCCUGUGACGAAGCGUGAGUGACGGUAAUGGGUAAAGAAGCACCGGCUAACUACGUG
rnacentral:rRNA from 1 species